rnacentral:lncRNA from 1 species
GAGAGGGAGACAGAAGCCAGAUCAUGCUGCGAUUGGGAAGCCAUGUGAAGGAAGACUUUGAAAGAGCAGAAUCGUGAGGAAUGAUGCCAGUGCCAUUUGCUGAAAAUGAAAGCAGGAACUUGGACCAGAAGUUUUAGAAUCCUGAAUUUAUCAAAGAAAUGUGAAGGCUGAGGCUUACAGAGAUCGAAGAGUAGAGGAUGCAUUGAGGCCACAGUUGAAGGAAAGAAGCCUGGAUUUCCACUGAAUUUGGGCU